CGGCUCAAGUACUAGUGCUUCAAUUAGUACUCAUUACGUCAAGCUACAGUGCUUUGAUACCCACUGCUAUGUGUACGGGUGAGGCAACAACAGCGGCCAGACCCCGCAGAAGAGAGAUCCAUGUGUGUGCUGCGCGUCGACCGAAAGCAAACCAGACUAGCAGAGGAUAUCCAUGGACUAGUACUACGGAACAGAGGAGAUAAAAGAAAGAAAAAAAUAUACAGGCCACGACGGGAAGUGGAUAAGGCCACGGAGUAGGUCUCCGCCUCGGCCUCGCCUCGAGCGCCUGCUGCCUCCGCGGCUGAUGAGCAGUAGCGCCUCCAAACCCACCAGUCCGCGACCCACCUCGCCUCGGUGACCGCAGUUCUACUAUGGCCGGUGCGCCGUUAUGCCGUUGCGGCCUCAAGCCGGCGCCCCCGAGCUUCCUCCUCCGCCAUGGCUCUUCGCUACCGCCACACAAUGCGGCCUGUCACCGCGGCCUGCUUCAACUCGCCCGCUUCUCCCGGGCGCCCGCGCUCCUGCUUCUGAAGUCAAGCCGCCGGCCGCCCGUCGUAAGCACGGGCCGCCUGCCGCCUUCAUAGGCCAUCGCCGCAUCAGCCGCCGCAGCCUCAUCGCUCUGAGUCGCUGCUGGCUGGCGGGUCGCCUGAUUCUGACUCCGCCUCGCCACCGCGUGUUCACCGGCGCGUUUCCGAGCCGUCUCCAAGGUCUGGCUUUGAGCCGCCACCGGAGAGCCGCCCCGCGCCGGUGAGCCGCCACGACUGUCACGGCCUCCGAGCCGCCCUUGCCGGGGUGCCAAACUGCUGAUGAGGUCGACCUGCUUCAAGUCGUCGCCGUGACCUUCGCCAAUUCUCCUCAGUAGACGCGGGUUGUUUUCUGCUGUGGCCUUGCCUCGCGGUCCGCCGUUGCCUCCGUGGCCGGCUUCUGCCGCGUGUUAUUACCGCUCUAAACCACUGCCGCUCUCAAAUCCUGAUAUAAGUAUCUAGGGAGAACAUGGGCUCUCUCAGAGCUUAGCCAUUGUCGGCCGUUGGAUCGAUUUUUUGAUGCGACUUCGUCCGUCCGAUCUCGUUGCUGGACGAUCCUGGCGGUUGGAUCAAAAAAGAGCACUGCUACAAUGAAUAGUUAGCUCUCGCUCGUGCCACCACGGGUAAUUUCCUUGCCCCGCCGUGGGCAUUUUCGUAAUUUCGCGCACGGGGUAUAAAAGGGGCUGCUCCCGUGGAGAUAGCCCUAGCCCGCUCGCUCCCACACUCGCGCGCGGCCGCUUGCUCCCCACGCCGCCGCCCUCGCCGCCUCCGCCUCCGCUCGCCCUCGCCGCCGCCUCCGCUCGCCCUCGCCGCCACCUCCGCUCGCCCUCGCCGCCGUCGCGUCUUCUCCUCCUCCCCGCCCUCUCGGUGCUACUACCAGGCGAGCGCGAGCAGCCAGAGAGGAACGGCCACGGGCCUCUCCCUCAGCGGCGCUGGCUCACUUUGCAGGCCCCCUGCCUCGUGGGGCUCAUGGCCCCCUCCCUCCGCGGCACCGGCGCCGGCGGCUCCCUCCUCCGCAGGCUCCCUGCCUCGUGGGGCCUGCCGGCCUCGCGCACGAACGACUCGUCGCCGGCGCCUCCUUCAACUAGAUCCUGCACGCCAAGAAGGCCGUUGCCGCCUCCUGCAAGGACGAACCAGACGCCGUGGCCCAGAAUUGGAGCCUUUGAAGGAUUUGAAUGAAGCAUAUGUAUGCAUGCUAUGGUUCAUCUUAGGUGAGUGCGAAUCUUCAACAUCUGUCUCAUGUCGCUUCUGGGAAAAUGCUUUUAAUUGUUUUAUUAUCGAUGAUAUCAAUUUGGUAGCAGCCUUUGAGUGGUGGCAAGAUUAUGUGCAUAGUAUACUUUCAGCACUGUAGGAUCGAGUAAAUGGAGCGGUGGUUCAUGCAUCACUCCCCGCCAAUACGAUGGAAUUAGUCACAAUGAUGACUUGAACUGCCGAUAUUUGAUCUGGGGACAAUUGCAACUGCCACUAAUGGUUUCUCCAUCGGUAACAAGCUUGGCGAGGGUGGCUUUGGACCAGUAUAUAAGGCAAUCAACUGCUCCUUGAAACAUGGCAGUAGCUGCUAUUGUUUUUGUGCUGCUUGGUGAUGCAUCUUUGUGGGUUCUUGCAGGUUAGAUGUUCAACGAAUUGAUUCUUCGGCAUCCAAGCUAGGUUUAUGUGGCAUCAAAGGCCACGGGCCCACGGUACAUGUUGUACUGACAUAUAUUCAGUCCAUUAUAAAUAUUUACCCUCCAUUUUCAGUGUAGAUUUUUUUCUCUUUUGAGGAUAUUCAGUUCAGAAAAUUAUUUACCAUUAUCUUGCAAAGUAGCAUAGCAAAGUGUAAGAAUAUUUUUCCAAGACCAGUAGCCGUUCCCAUAUAAAAUAUUAAUUCCCAUUUGAUGUCAGUUUUACAUUGCUCUUUCAACCGUCAAAAGAUAAAUAAUAUCCUUAGGAAUAAGACAUCAAAGCUUUGUAUGUGUUUUUCAAUGAGAUUCAGCUGCUAAACAAUUGCUAUGAAGGCAACAUCUGUUUAUUUUACAUGCUGAUUUUCUUAACUACAUUAACUUCCAAAGUAUUUAUUUUGUUGAUCAAGAAAUAUCACUCUACUGUCAGAUAAGAAGGUCUCUCUGUAAGGAGGAUUUUUUAUGUUAUGUACUUUGCUCCCAGAGAUAAUUUGAUCCACCAGCAUUAUUGAUUCUGUUAGGUAUUGUCAGUUAACUGUACGUCUUCUUCUUUACCCCUUAUUCUUCUCCUUCUUUACCUUUGAUGAUUCAAGGAUAGGCCCUCCGCCGCCGCAGCUGCGCUUUAUUGAACUAAGUUGUUCUCUUUUUGAGAGAGUAUUGCGCUAAGAUGUUUUAUAUCCUUAUUAUAGGGAUACAAGCUCCGUGAACCAUUCAUGUAGUUACCGAUUUUAGACAGAUUUUGUUUCAGUUAUGAAGGUUUAGAGAGAUAUAUGAAUGAUCUGGAGUUUCAGUUAUCAUUUGAGCUACUUCCCCAUUCGUAUUCUUAACAUUAAUCCAUCCUAUUAGUAUUAAUUAAUUAUGAUGCUGCCAUGUUCAUUUCUGCCCUUGGAGGGAGAUGAAUAUAUGGUGCUGCCAGCGCAGCACUUAAGGGCAUGGAGGCUGUCAAGGCGAAAGAGGCAUGUUCUCAACCACCAAAUUACGAUGUUGAGUAGUGCCCGAGCGGAAGAUAGCAAGGCGGUUGACGUAGGAUACGGAGUAAGCAGAGCUAGCGGCAGUGGACGCAGCUACCACACGUCGGUGGGCGCACCAGAGGCACAACACACGGUGGACAUCGAGGAUGUAGUGCACAUCAAAGCAGUCGCCGCUCCGCGGUAAAUUAGAUAGACAAAAUACAUGACAUGUUAGGCUGUUACUCGCUAGUAGCAGAAAUAUUCAGCUUAUUCAUGAGGUAACAGCAGGGUCUGUUGCGCUGAAUCUUUGAGAUGAAACCAAACCAAACUAAUACAUACCUAGCAUCUGUCCAGAAGUCUUGAUUACGAAAUAUAUAUGGUCCCAUUUUAAGUUUCAGAGGAUAUGCUCGGUUAUCUGUUCUUUUGUAGGGAUUUGAGAAAAAAUAAAAGAAAAAACACUUAUAAUAAGGCAAUGGCUUCGUGAGAAAGCACAAGAAAUAUCGUUGCGCGGCAGCAAGGCAUACCUUAAUUUGCUUCAUGGUGAACUGGAAAUGUGCUUUUAUGUCAAACUGAAAAAAUAUAUAUGUUGUCUGCUAGCACCGUAAUAUGUCCAUCCAUUAACCACUAUUUUGUAGAAAUACAUGCCUCUGCUUCUGGUUAUUACAAGCUAGGUAGUAUUGUGGCAGUGAUCGGAAACUUCUACACAACUCAUCACCAUCAUGUCCAUGCCCCAGACUUGGGUGAGUGCUCAAGGAAGAAUUUUGUAGUUCCACUGUUGGAUUCCAAGCAGGCAAUUCAUGAUCAGCCUUGCGCAAGCUAUGGAGUUUCAAGAAAUCGAUUGACAAGUGGAGUGACUGCUGGGGUCAUAAACGAAGAAACAAUGAAGUCACUGGACAACAAAGCAGAUUAUUUAUUCCCAAUGUCGUUGCUCUUGCAAAAUUGCAGGCCUAUUGGUUAUGUGAUAAGCAACCACUGGACCCUUUCUACAAGCACAUAAAUGUUGAUGAUGUACAUGACAAUGAUUGUUACCUAUUUAUCUUAACUGUGACCUUGCUUUGGCAUUUCAGAAACAUUGUAGUUGCUUAUUUGUAUCCUAUACUUUUGGGUGAUUUUACCAGUACCUUGCUUAUGUUUGUACAGUAUUACUGGAUAUCUAAUGGAGCUUUCAUUAUCGUACUGCUUAUUCCACCCCUUGCUUUGCUUUCCCCUUUUCUGGCUGGUCUCGAUGCCCCGUAUUUCUACACUUGGAAUACUACUUCUGUCCCUGUCGAGUUCGAUAUGGAUAUGCCCCAAAAUGUAUUUUUGUUUUGCUAAACAGUUUAAUGCAACUUAGUGAUAAAAUAUGUCUCCUAUUUAUGUACACUUCCUCUCAAUCACCAAUAUGGUCCCAGUUAUCCAUGUUUAUGUAUGUGUUGUCUGCAGGUGGUUAUGUUGGUUUUAUCUUCCGGUUGGUUGUUAGUCCCCUACAAGAGUUGUCACAAUAUGAAAAGGCUCCAAAAGGUGUCACGGUCAGGAAUCUUUUUUCCAGGCAUCCGGUGAUGAUUAGGUAACCAAACCAUAUCACAGGAUGUGUGUUUGUGUGGUCUGGCAAAGUAAUGCUCUUCUUUUGUGAGAAGAGGGCCACAGUACCAAUUGGGCAGACUUUGUCAAGGCGACAGGAAUAAAAGAAUAACAUAUACUCAGAUAAGGAUCUUCGCCUUCAAGAUUAUAAGGGGAAAUUAUUGCUCACUGUCCUGUCCAUACGCUUUAGAAGGAAAUCACAAGUGUAUUUUUCUAUACAAAACCAUUAUGUGAUCAUCUAUAUUACGAACUAUUCACACCAGAUUCAUAUGGAAUGGCACUCAUGGCGGUAGUUGAACCAAAGCUAUCUAUCAGUACGCCUAACUAUGGCUUCGUAGUUUUAGCGCAUCCACUGCCACUGUGUUGGCUUUUGCUCUCUAAUGUAACUACUUGUACUACUGAACUAAUUAGCUUUUGUAAUAUCAUGGCUGCAUUGAACUUGAUGUUGCCUUACUUCUGUGGCCGGUUAGUUUUUAUAAUCUCAUGACUUUGUUGAA